UGCCCUAUCAACUUUCGAUGGUAUGGUCUUGGCUUACCAUGGUUUCAACGGGUAACGGGGAAUUAGGGUUCUAUUCCGGAGAGGGAGCCUGAGAAACGGCUACCACAUCCAAGGAAGGCAGCAGGCGCGCAAAUUACCCAAUCCCGACACGGGGAGGUAGUGACAAUAAAUACUGAUACAGGGCUCUUUUGGGUCUUGUAAUUGGAAUGAGUACAAUUUAAAUCCCUUAACGAGGAACAAUUGGAGGGCAAGUCUGGUGCCAGCAGCCGCGGUAAUUCCAGCUCCAAUAGCGUAUAUUAAAGUUGUUGCAGUUAAAAAGCUCGUAGUUGAACCUUGGGCCUGGUUGGCCGGUCCGCCUCACCGCGUGCACUGGUCCGACCGGGUCUUUCCUUCUGAGGAGCCGCAUGCCCUUCACUGGGUGUGUCGGGGAAUCAGGACUUUUACUUUGAAAAAAUUAGAGUGUUCAAAGCAGGCCUAUGCUCGAAUACAUUAGCAUGGAAUAAUAGAAUAGGACGUGUGGUUCUAUUUUGUUGGUUUCUAGGACCGCCGUAAUGAUUAAUAGGGAUAGUCGGGGGCAUCAGUAUUCAAUUGUCAGAGGUGAAAUUCUUGGAUUUAUUGAAGACUAACUACUGCGAAAGCAUUUGCCAAGGAUGUUUUCAUUAAUCAGUGAACGAAAGUUAGGGGAUCGAAGACGAUCAGAUACCGUCGUAGUCUUAACCAUAAACUAUGCCGACUAGGGAUCGGGCGAUGUUAUCUUUUUGACUCGCUCGGCACCUUACGAGAAAUCAAA
rnacentral:rRNA from 1 species